rnacentral:rRNA from 1 species
CAGCCGUAAACUAUGCGCGUUAGGUGUAUCGGUGACCACGAGUUACCGAGGUGCCGAAGGGAAACCGUGAAACGUGCCGCCUGGGAAGUACGGUCGCAAGGCUGAAACUUAAAGGAAUUGGCGGGGGAGCACCACAACAGGUGGAGCCUGCGGUUUAAUUGGACUCAACGCCGGGAAGCUCACCGGAUAGGACAGCAGAAUGAUUGCCGGGCUGAAGACUCUGCAUGACUAGCUGAGAGGGGGUGCAUGGCGUAGACGUCU